CGAGCAAGUCGCUUUGUCGCUGCGAUGAAAAUCGGAGAGGAAAGUCCGGACACCAAAGGGCAAGCAUAGCGGAUAACAUCCGUCCGUCGAAAGGCGAGGACAAGUGCAACAGAAAGCAAGUACAGUUCGGCUGUAGUGAAAACAGGUAAACUCUAUGCGGUGAAAUGCCAUGUAUACCAACAGUUAAGUGCUGCUCGUGCGUUGUUGGGGGGUAGGCAGCUUCAUGUUUUGGGUAACCAAAAUAGUAGAUAAAUGACAAAGGCUUUGCUUGGUUAUCAUACCAAGCAAAGUACAGAAUCCGGCUUAUAGACUUGCUCUUUUC
rfam:Weeksella virosa DSM 16922, complete genome.